ACCUAGCUGGCUCAGUCCGUAGAGCAUGUGACUCAAGAUUUCAGGGUUGUGAAUUCGAGCCCCACGUUGGGCA
rfam:Felis catus isolate Cinnamon breed Abyssinian chromosome B3, whole genome shotgun sequence.